UUCGAUUGGAUUAGGCAUGCAAGUCGAACGGUAUUUUUCAGGCGGAUCCUUCGGGUAAAGCUUGUUAAAGAGAGUGGCGAACGGGUGAGUAACACGUGGGCAACUUGCCCCUAAGUUCGGGAUAGCCCGCUGAAAGGCGGGGUAAUACCGGAUGUGGUCGUUCCGCGAUUGCGGAAUUGUCUAAAGGUGGGGAUUCUUAGGAACCUAUCGCUUAGGGAUGGGCCCGCGGCCUAUCAGCUUGUUGGUGAGGUAACGGCUCACCAGGGCAUAGACGGGUAGCUGGUCUGAGAGGAUGGUCAGCCACACUGGGACUGAGACACUGCCCAGACUCCUACGGGAGGCUGCAGUCGAGAAUCAUUCACAAUGCGCGAAAGCGUGAUGAUGCGACGCCGCGUGGAGGAUGACGGCCUUCGGGUUGUAAACUCCUGUCAUGAGGGAACAAGGAUGGCGGGGCCAAUACCCCCGCUAUUUGAUGGUACCUCAAGAGGAAGCCACGGCUAACUCUGUGCCAGCAGCCGCGGUAAUACAGAGGUGGCGAGCGUUGUUCGGAUUUACUGGGCGUAAAGGGUGCGUAGGCGGUUCUGUGUGUCAGAUGUGAAAUCUCACCAUCCAACGGUGAAACUGCAUUUGAAACUGCAGGACUAGAGUACAGGAGGGGAGAGCGGAAUUCUCGGUGUAGCGGUGAAAUGCGUAGAUAUCGAGAAGAACGCCGGUGGCGAAGGCGGCUCUCUGGACUGAUACUGACGCUGAGGCACGAAAGUUGGGGGAGCGAACAGGAUUAGAUACCCUGGUAGUCCCAACCGUAAACGGUGUGCACUUGGUGUGGGUGGGUUUGUCCCCAUCCGUGCCGGAGCUAACGCGUUAAGUG
rnacentral:rRNA from 1 species